rnacentral:rRNA from 1 species
CCUACGGGCGGCAGCAGUGGGGAAUAUUGCACAAUGGGGGAAACCCUGAUGCAGCGACGCCGCGUGAGUGAAGAAGUAAUUCGUUACGUAAAGCUCUAUCAGCAGGGAAGAAAAUUACGGUACCUGAGUAACAAUCCCCGGCUAACUCCGUGCCAGCAGCCGCGGUCAUACGUAGGGGGCAAGCGUGAUCCGGAUUUACUGGGUGUAACGGGAGCGUAGACGGUGCGCCAAGUCUGGGGUGAAAUGCCGCAGCUUAACUGCGGAACUGCUUUGGAAACUGGCGAACUAGAGUGCGGGAGGGGUAAGCGGAAUUCCUAGUGUAGCGGUGAAAUGCGUAGAUAUUAGGAGGAACACCGGUGGCGAAGGCGGCUUACUGGACCGUAACUGACGUUGAGGCGCGAAAGCGUGGGGAGCAAACAGGAUUAGAUACCCCAGUAGUC